GCAGGUCAAUGAGCCCCUUGUGCACCUAAAGUUCACCGUGCGAGACGGGGACCGAGGCGUGAUGGAGCCCUUUGCCAUGAGCAUGUCGGCAGAGAAGUUCCGGGUCUUACUGGCAGAGCUGAGACAGGCCCACGCCAUGAUGAAAACUCUCAGCUGAGGAGCCAGGACGACGGCAGCGAGUGUGGAAGGAGCCGGCCAAUUGUGCUGCGGCCCAUUGGAGAGUCUGGAGGGUGCGGUUCCUCCGCUGGGGAAGCCCCUUGCUGCAUACAGCUGCAGACACCGCCUGGGCAGAGGUUGGACUGGGCUCUCUCCUCCUUUCUCAGACCUCUGCAGCUGAAACUGUCGACUGCUCUUCCCACUCUUCCUGGCUACUGUCCCCCCUGCACCCCAUGCAGCUCUCUUGCUGUGAAGCCUCCUGCCUGCCCCUCCUCCAUCCUGCCCACAAGCCCUUGUGCUUCCAGGAGCCCCACCCCAGGAUCCGUCCCCAGAGCAAUGGUGGAUGGGAGCUUGGUAGCUUCUGCAUCUGCUAACGAGAUCUCCACCUUGAGACCAGCUUCAGCUCGGAGUUCCCAUAACAAAGGCGUCCAAACCCAUGGGCCGUGCUACCAUGUAACAGACACGCCUCCGGAGAACACCAGGCCUGCCAGCUAGAGGCUGCUUUAACAGUGAGAGGCCCUGACAUCUCUUGCCCAGCCCUUUGUUGGUGGCACUGUUCCUGAACAGCUGCAGGGAGCUGAUCUGUCUUGCUUCUGCCUGAAUUGUCUCCUGUGCCUACUCCGGGGCAGGCACUUGGGCUCCCAUGUCUCUUCUGGAGACUAGCGUGCAGCAGCCCACCAAAUGCUGCGGCUAGGCCAGCUCCACAUCAUGCGCUGACUGAACUCCUGCAGCAAUCCAGGAUGCCUGUGGCUGGGGCGACUCUGCCAGUCGUACAUAAGAGGUUGGAAAGUUUCAUCAGCCGAAGCGUGAUGGAGUGUUCGCUAGUCCCUUCUUGCUUCCCCGCCUCCCUCCCUUAAAAAGCACUUUGUCUCUAUUCUUUCCACUUCCUUUAAAGGAGCCGCCAACCUGGGGGAUAAAUGCAGCUUUUCUGUCUUUCCUUCCCCCCCAUGCUCCUGCCACCUUUUCCAGGGCAGCUCCGUGCAUGGAAUAAAGGAUCAGCAGGAAUGUGCA
rnacentral:lncRNA from 1 species